GGAGCCAUCCUUGGGAUACCACCCUUGUAGUACUGGGACUCUAACCAUAGGCCAUGAAUCUGGUCUUGGGACACUGUCAGGUGGGCAGUUUGACUGGGGCGGUCGCCUCCCAAAAGGUAACGGAGGCGCUCAAAGGUUCUCUCAGUACGGUCGGAAAUCGUACGUAGAGUGUAAAGGCAAAAGAGAGCUUGAUUGCAAGACAUACAGGUCGAGCAAGGAUGAAAAUCGGACUUAGUGAUCCGGUGGUUCUGCGUGGAAGGGCCAUCGCUCAACGGAUAAAAGCUACCCUGGGGAUAACAGGCUUAUCUCCCCCAAGAGUCCACAUCGACGGGGAGGUUUGGCACCUCGAUGUCGGCUCAUCACAUCCUGGGGCUGUAGUAGGUCCCAAGGGUUGGGCUGUUCGCCCAUUAAAGUGGUACGCGAGCUGGGUUCAGAACGUCGUGAGACAGUUCGGUCCCUAUCCGUCGCAGGCGUAGGAAAUUUGAGAAGACCUGUCCUUAGUACGAGAGGACCGGGAUGGACGUACCUCUGGUGUACCAGUUGUUCUGCCAAGGGCAUGGCUGGGUAGCUAUGUACGGAAUGGAUAAGCGCUGAAAGCAUCUAAGCGCGAAGCCAACUUCAAGAUAAGAUUUCCCACCG
rnacentral:rRNA from 1 species